rnacentral:rRNA from 1 species
GAUGAACGCUGGCGGCGUGCCUAAUACAUGCCAGUCGAGCGAACAGACGAGGAGCUUGCUCCUCUGACGUUAGCGGCGGACGGGUGAGUAACACGUGGAUAACCUACCUAUAAGACUGGGAUAACUUCGGGAAACCGGAGCUAAUACCGGAUAAUAUAUUGAACCGCAUGGUUCAAUAGUGAAAGACGGUUUUGCUGUCACUUAUAGAUGGAUCCGCGCCGCAUUAGCUAGUUGGUAAGGUAACGGCUUACCAAGGCAACGAUGCGUAGCCGACCUGAGAGGGGGAUUCGCCACCCUGGGAAUGGGACCCCGCCCAAACCCCCACGGGAGGGCGCAGUAGGGAAUUCUCCCCAAAGGGGGAAAGCCCUGAGGGGCCAACCCGGGGGGGGGAAGAAAGUUUUCCGAACCUAAAACCCUUUUUUUUGGGAAAAAACAAAGUGUAAAUAAACAUUGACGGUUUUACGGUAACCAAACAAAAAGCCCCGGCUAAAUUCGUG